AUGUUUAUAACAAUAUUUGUUCUCUCCUCUUUGAUCCCAGAAGCUGUUCUGGGAGUGUCAUUGGAGCAAAAUGAUCUCUCCAUAACAAAACAGAAGGGUAAAACUGUGAACAUCAUCUGCAAAGUUACCAAACUAUCUAGAGAUUAUGUCCACUGGUACCAUAAGAAAGACGGUGAAGAAGUUCUCAAACGGAUCCUUUAUGUCAAAAAAGGCAACCAACCUGUUCCUGAUAAUAACUAUCCUGGAGCAGAACAGUUUAUAGUGAGGAUACAAAGUGAUAAUUACGAUCUGAAGAUACAACAGCUUGAGGAAAAUCAUUCAGGGGUUUAUUACUGCGCCAGCUGGGAGUACAGCAGUGACACACAGUGA